UCGAUUGGAAACAGCCUCUCUGCCCUUUCGGGUAGGGGUAAGGCCCGUCUACAUAAUACCCUCCCAGACCCCACCUUGUGGGACUAUACUGGGUAGUUGUUGUUGUUGUUGCUAUUAUUAUUGCUUGUUUCUACUGCUUCGUUGCAUCUUUCCUAAGAUAGAGAUCUAUCGAAAAUAUUCUCUUUAUCUUUCCAAAAUAGGGAUAAAAU
rnacentral:lncRNA from 1 species